UGGCACCAAAAGGUUCCAUCUGGACCCAAAUCCCGUUGGUUUCACCCCAUUUCUUCUGUAGUUGGGACUGUUUAUUUAUGGGAUAUGGGGUUGUGCACUUAUGGGGUUGGGAUGUUGACGAGGGAGCCCAAAACCCCAUAGAAAUCGACCCCAAAACGGCCCCAAAAGCGCCCUGAACCCAAACCCCCCAUCGUGGCACCAAAAGGUUCCAUUUUUACCCAAAUCCCGUUGGUUUCACCCCAUUUUUGCCAUGGUUGAGGCUCUCUAUGUAUGUUGUAGGGGGUUCUGCUCUUAUAGGGUUAGGAUUUAUUGCAGGACAGCCCAAAACCCCAUAGAAAUCGACCCCAAAACGGCCCCAAAAGCGCCCCGAACCCAAACCCCCCAUCGCGGCACCAAAAGGUUCCAUUUUAACCCAAAUCCCGUUGGUUUCACCCCAUUUUUGCCAUGGUUGAGGCUCUCUAUGUAUGUUGUAGGGGGUUCUGCUCUUAUAGGGUUAGGAUUUAUUGCAGGACAGCCCAAAACCCCAUAGAAAUCCACCCCAAAACGGCCCCAAAAGCGCCCCGAACCCAAACCCACCAUCGCGGCACCAAAAGGUUCCAUCUGGACCCAAAUCCCGUUGGUUUCACCCCAUUUCUUCCGUAGUUGGGACUGUUUAUUUAUGGGAUAUGGGGUUGUGCACUUAUGGGGUUGGGAUGUUGACGAGGGAGCCCAAAACCCCAUAGAAAUCGACCCCAAAACGGCCCCAAAAGCGCCCCGAACCCAAACCCCCCAUCGCGGCACCAAAAGGUUCCAUUUUUACCCAAAUCCCGUUGAUUUCACCCCAUUUUUGCCAUGGUUGAGGCUCCCUAUUUAUGGGAUAUGGGGUUGUGCACUUAUGGGGUUGGGAUGUUGACGAGGGAGCCCAAAACCCCAUAGAAAUCGACCCCAAAACGGCCCCAAAAGCGCCCUGAACCCAAAGCCACCAUCGUGGCACCAAAAGGUUCCAUUUUUACCCAAAUCCUGUUGUUUUCACUCCAUUUCUUCCAUAGUUGAGACUGUUUAUUUAUGGGGUUGGAGGUUUUGCUCUUAUAGGGUUAGGAUUUAUUGCAGGACGGCCCAAAACCCCAUAGAAAUCGACCCCAAAACGGCCCCAAAAGCGCCCUGAACCCAAACCCACCAUCGUGGCACCAAAAGGUUCCAUCUGGACCCAAAUCCCAUUGAUUUCACCCCAUUUUUGCCAUGGUUGAGGCUCCCUAUUUAUGGGAUAUGGGGUUGUGCACUUAUGGGGUUGGGAUGUUGAGGAGGGAGCCCCAAAACCCCAUAGAAAUCGACCCCAAAAUGGCCCCAAAAUCAGCCCAUGGGGUUUUUUGGGGUCCCCAUCGACUUUUUGGGGUCCCCAUUGGGUUCUGUGGGGUUUUGUUGGGUCCCCAUUGGGUUUUUUUGGGGUCCCCAUUGAAUUUUUGGGGUCCCCAUUGGGUUCUGUGGGGUUUUGUUGGGUCCCCAUUGGGUUUUUUUGGGGUCCCCAUUGAAUUUUUGGGGUCCCCAUUGGGUUCUGUGGGGUUUUGUUGGGUCCCCUUUGAAUUUUUGGGGUCCCCAUUGGGUUUUUAGGGUCCUUAUUGGUUUUUUUGGGGUCCCCAUUGGGUUUUGUUGGGUCCCCAUUGUCUUUUGUGGGGUCCCCAUUGACUUUUUAGGGUCCCCAUUGGGUUCUGUGGGGUCUUGUUGGGUCCCCAUUGACUUUUGUGGGGUCCCCAUUGACGUUUUAGGGUCCCCAUUGGGUUUUUUGGGGUCUUGUUGGGUCCCCAUUGACUUUUUGGGGUCCCCAUUGGGUUCUGUGGGGUCUUGUUGGGUCCCCAUUGGGUUUUUAGGGUCCCCAUUGGGUUCUGUGGGGUCCCCAAUGGAUUUUGUGGGGUCCCCAUUGACUUUUUAGGGUCCCCAUUGGGUUUUUAGGGUCCUUAUUGGUUUUUUUGGGGUCCCCAUUGGGUUUUGUGGGGUCCCCAUUGAAUUUUUGGGGUCCCCAUUGACUUUUUAGGGUCCCCAUUGGGUUCUGUGGGGUCUUGUUGGGUCCCCAUUGGGUUUUUUGGGUCCCCAUCGGCUUUUUGGGGUCCCUAUUGGGUUCUGUGGGGUUUUGUUGGGUCCCCAUUGACGUUUUUAGGGUCCCCAUUGGGUUUUUGGGGUCCCCAUUGGGUUUUUAGGGUCCCCAUUGAGUUCUGUGGGGUUUUUUGGGGUCCCCAUUGGGUUCUGUGGGGUUUUGUUGGGUCCCCAUUGACUUUUGUGGGGUCCCCAUGGGGUUUUUGGUGCUUCUUUGGGGUCCCCAUUGACUUUUUGGGGUCCCCAUUGGGUUUUUUGGGGUCUUGUUGGGUCCCCAUUGACUUUUUAGGGUCCCCAUUGGGUUCUGUGGGGUUUUGUCGGGUCCCCAAUGGAUUUUUUGGGGUCCCCAUUGAUUUUUGUGGGUUCCCCAUUGACUUUUUGGGGUCCCCAUUGGGUUCUGUGGGGUCUUGUUGGCUCCCCAUUGACUUUUGGGGUCCCCAUUGAUGUUUUCGGGGUCCUGUUUGUUCUCUGCCCUAUGGGGCGCCCCAUAACCGCCCC